rnacentral:misc_RNA from 1 species
ACCUCACUUGUAUUGUAUUGGUGAUGCAAAUGGUAAAAUGAUGCUUGCUCAUGCAGCCAGCGCACAAGGAAUUUCAGUGGUUGAACAAAUCACCGGAAGAGAUCAUGUGCUAAAUCAUUUAAGCAUUCCAGCAGCUUGUUUCACUCAUCCUGAAAUCAGUAUGGUUGGAUUGACAGAGCCUCAAGCAAGGGAGAAAGGUGAAACAGAAGCAUUUGAAGUAAGUGUUGCCAAGACAAGUUUUAAGGCCAACACAAAGGCCCUUGCAGAAAAUGAAGGAGAGGGGCUUGCUAAGUUGAUAUACAGACCUGAUACUGGAGAGAUACCGGAGUUCAUAUUUUUGGGUUGCAUGCUGCUGAUCUCAUUCAUGAAGCAUCCAAUGCUAUUGCUCUGGGGACCCGUAUUCAGGAUAUAAAAUUUGCUGUUCAUGCACAUCCAACUCUGUCUGAAGUCCUUGAUGAACUUUUUAAAUCAGCAAAGGUUGAAGCUCAUGUUUCAAGCCAGGUGAGUGAACCAGUUGCAGUCUAGGCAUCUCAGUACUAAUAGUACAAAAUUUUGAAGAAAUUUGCUUGUGUUAAAAAGUGCCAAGGAACUAUAUGCUCCUAGACUGGAGAAGUCAACAAAUAUGUUCUGCUGUUAGAAGAAACAUCUUAAAAAAAAUUUUACGAUUUUCUUGGAGGUCGGUGGGAUGGGAAUAUCUUUUGGGUGUUGCAUUGGUUUCUUGAGCUUGUUGUAAAUCUGUUUAAAUACCAGUCCGUAGGUAUUUAAGUGUAAGAUGAAUUUUAUGCUAUAAUUUGGACAAUGACUCCACAUGAGUUCGUAAUAGAGCUCAGCAUUCUGAUGUUAUCAUUUGACCGAGGAAGCGAGAAAUGCUUGGCGGAUCAAAAA